CCGAGUUUACAACUCCCCAAACCCCUGUGAACAUACCACUUGUUGCCUCGGCGGAUCAGCCCGCUCCCGGUAAAACGGGACGGCCCGCCAGAGGACCCCCUAAACUCUGUUUCUAUAUGUAACUUCUGAGUAAAACCAUAAAUAAAUCA
rnacentral:misc_RNA from 1 species